GGCGGAGGUCCCGGUGAAAUCAGGGGCUAAGGGGACCCAAAGAAGGCGGGGGAUCAUAGGGGUGGAAAGAAAGCUGAGAACCUUGAGACCGGAGUGUGAGGGGCCAAUGGGGAAGGGCGCUGGAAUUUUAAACUAAAGUAGGGACCGGAAUUCCCCCGGGGAGAUGUUGGAUGGCCCUGUGCCCUGCCACGGGCUCUUUAUUCUUCGCUGGUUAGAAACAGACUUGUGAAAAAGAGUUAUGCCCACUUUGGGGAGAAUUCGAAAAGGUUAAGAAGUUCUUACAAGAGUUCUACCAGGAUGAUGAACUUGGGAAGAAGCAGUUCAAGUAUGGGAACCAGUUGGUUCGGCUGGCCCAUCGGGAACAGGUGGCUCUGUAUGUGGACCUGGACGACGUAGCCGAGGAUGACCCCGAGUUGGUGGACUCAAUUUGUGAGAAUGCCAGGCGCUACGCGAAGCUCUUUGCUGAUGCCGUACAAGAGCUGCUGCCUCAGUACAAGGAGAGGGAAGUGAGUGGUUAGAGAACAAUGGCAAACAAAGGGCGAGGCGUUUAAGCUUCUGUAGAGAGGCUGCUCAGAUACUGAUGUUUUCUGAGCAGGCAGAAAGGAGGGGCACUUCUGCCUGGUGUUCUCUGUGCUCUCCUUUCCCCAUCCUGUUGCUCAUUUUUUUUUUUUUUUUUUUUUUUUUUUUUUUUUUUUGUUCUUCUCCUUUAGGUGGUAAAUAAAGAUGUCCUGGACGUUUACAUUGAGCAUCGGCUAAUGAUGGAGCAGCGGAGUCGGGACCCUGGGAUGGUCCGAA
rnacentral:sRNA from 1 species